UACGGAGGGUGCAAGCGUUAAUCGGAAUUACUGGGCGUAAAGCGCGCGUAGGCGGUUUUUUAAGUCGGAUGUGAAAGCCCCGGGCUCAACCUGGGAACUGCAUCCGAUACUGGAAGACUAGAAUGCGGGAGAGGGAGGUAGAAUUCCAUGUGUAGCAGUGAAAUGCGUAGAUAUAUGGAGGAAUACCAGUGGCGAAGGCGGCCUCCUGGCUCGACAUUGACGCUGAGGUGCGAAAGCUAGGGUAGCAAAUGGG
rnacentral:rRNA from 1 species